UACAGGGGGGGCAAGCGUUGUUCGGAAUUACUGGGCGUAAAGGGCCAGUAGGCGGCCGACUAAGUCCGACGUGAAAUCCCCAGGCUUAACCUGGGAACUGCGUCGGAUACUGGAUGGCUUGAAUUCGGGAGAGGGAUGCGGAAUUCCAGGUGUAGCGGUGAAAUGACGUAGAUAUCUGGAGGAACACCGGUGGCGAAGGCGGCAUCCUGGACGAUUACUGACGCUGAGACGCGAAAGCGUGGGGAGCAAACAGG
rnacentral:rRNA from 1 species